rnacentral:rRNA from 1 species
UUGGACGCUGGCGGAAUGCUUUACACAUGCAAGUCGAGCGGCAGCGCGGGGCAACCUGGCGGCGAGCGGCGAACGGGUGAGUAACACAUCGGAACGUACCCAGUUGUGGGGGAUAGCCCGGCGAAAGCCGGAUUAAUACCGCAUACGACCUGAGGGUGAAAGCGGGGGAUCGCAAGACCUCGCGCAAUUGGAGCGGCCGAUGGCGGAUUAGCUAGUUGGUAGGGUAAAGGCCUACCAAGGCGACGAUCCGUAGCGGGUCUGAGAGGACGACCCGCCACACUGGAACUGAGACACGGUCCAGACUCCUACGGGAGGCAGCAGUGGGGAAUUUUGGACAAUGGGGGAAACCCUGAUCCAGCCAUUCCGCGUGAGUGAAGAAGGCCUUCGGGUUGUAAAGCUCUUUCGGCAGGAACGAAACGGUUUGCCCUAAUACGGUGAGCUAAUGACGGUACCUGAAGAAGAAGCACCGGCUAACUACGC